rnacentral:rRNA from 1 species
AAAUUGAAGAGUUUGAUCAUGGCUCAGAUUGAACGCUGGCGGCAGGCCUAACACAUGCAAGUCGAACGGUAGCACAGAGAGCUUGCUCUCGGGUGACGAGUGGCGGACGGGUGAGUAAUGUCUGGGAAACUGCCUGAUGGAGGGGGAUAACUACUGGAAACGGUGGCUAAUACCGCAUAAUGUCGCAAGACCAAAGAGGGGGACCUUCGGGCCUCUUGCCAUCAGAUGUGCCCAGAUGGGAUUAGCUAGUUGGUGAGGUAACGGCUCACCAAGGCGACGAUCCCUAGCUGGU